rnacentral:rRNA from 1 species
AUUGAACGCUGGCGGCAGGCCUAACACAUGCAAGUCGAGCGGUUGACGGGAGCUUGCUCCCUGAUUCAGCGGCGGACGGGUGAGUAAUGCCUAGGAAUCUGCCUAUUAGUGGGGGACAACGUUUCGAAAGGAACGCUAAUACCGCAUACGUCCUACGGGAGAAAGCAGGGGACCUUCGGGCCUCGCGCUAAUAGAUGAGCCUAGGUCGGAUUAGCUUGUUGGUGAGGUAAUGGCUCACCAAGGCGACGAUCCGUAACUGGUCUGAGAGGAUGAUCGGUCACACUGGAACUGAGACACGGUCCAGACUCCUACGGGAGGCAGCAGUGGGGAAUAUUGGACAAUGGGCGAAAGCCUGAUCCAGCCAUGCCGCGUGUGUGAAGAAGGUCUUCGGAUUGUAAAGCACUUUAAGUUGGGAGGAAGGGUUGUAGAUUAAUACUCUGCAAUUUUGACGUUACCGACAGAAUAAGCACCGGCUAACUCUGUGCCAGCCGCCGCCGCGGUAA